rnacentral:rRNA from 1 species
AUAAGAGGUCCCGCCUGCCCUGUGACAAUAUUUAACGGCCGCGGUAUUUUGACCGUGCAAAGGUAGCGUAAUCACUUGUCUUUUAAAUAAAGACCCGUAUGAAAGGCACCACGAGAGUUUAACUGUCUCUAUUUUCUAAUCAAUGAAAUUGAUCUAUUCGUGCAGAAGCGAAUAUAAUAACAUUAGACGAGAAGACCCUAUGGAGCUUUAAACACUUAAAUUAACUAUGUAAUCAUCCACUUCCCAGGAUAUAAACAAAACAUACAAUACUUCUAAUUUAACUGUUUUUGGUUGGGGUGACCAAGGGGAAAAACAAAUCCCCCUCAUCGAUUGAGUACUAAGUACUUAAAAAUUAGAAUGACAAUUCUAAUCAAUAAAACAUUUAUCGAAAAAUGACCCAGGACUUCCUGAUCAAUGAACCAAGUUACCCUAGGGAUAACAGCGCAAUCCUUUCUCAGAGUCCCUAUCGAAGAAAGGGUUUACGACCUCGAUGUUGGAUCAGGACAUCCUAAUGGUGCAGCCGCUAUUAAGGGUUCGUUUGUUCAAC